UACGUAGGGGGCGAGCGUUGUCCGGAUUUAUUGGGCGUAAAGAGCUCGUAGGCGGUUUGGCAAGUCGGAUGUGAAAUCUCCAGGCUCAACCUGGAGGGGUCAUUCGAAACUGCUAUGACUAGAGUUCGGUAGAGGAGUGUGGAAUUCCUGGUGGAGCGGUGAAAUGCGCAGAGAUCAGGAGGAACACCCGUAGCGAAGGCGGCACUCUGGGCCGAUACUGACGCUGAAGAGCGAAAGCGUGGGGAGCGAACAGG
rnacentral:rRNA from 1 species